rfam:Ceriporiopsis subvermispora B unplaced genomic scaffold CERSTscaffold_1, whole genome shotgun sequence.
GCCCGCCUAGCUCAAUCGGAUAGAGCGUCAGACUCUUAUUAGCGGGUGAUCUGAAGGCUGCGAGUUCGACCCUCGCGGUGGGCU